rnacentral:lncRNA from 1 species
GCCUGGUGUGUUCCUUGCUGUCGCGUCCGGUCGGUUGCCGUGCGGGCGGCGGAGGUUGUUCCCUCCCGUUCGACUAUGUUGCUGCCGCCCCCGGUCUCGCCGUCCCCUCCUCUUUCCUCUAGGCCUCGUGCUGGUUACCACGGUGAGGCGUUGCGGAGGGUGAUGUGGCCGUGGUCGCGCAUGCUCGUGGGCGGAAGUUGGGUGGAGCACUCCGGAUUGGCGAGGCGGUGAUGGUUCUUUGGGGUCAGGAGAAAUCCCUUUCGGCUUGUCCGGCACCGAUGCCGACGGGUGUCGCCUUUCCUUCCUGGAGGGAUGCCGACGGGUGUCGCCUUUCCUUCCUGGAGGGCUUCGGGUGUACCCCUUCCCCAUUGCCCCCGCGUACCAGGGGAGACCCUCGGACUCGUCCGGGCAGUAGCGGCGUUGUCGUCGUUUUUCUUGUUGAAGGUGUUGCUCGGUACGUGGUGCUUCAGAGUGCUAGGAGCACGGUGGGACUUUCGGUGGGCGCAGCAGCUUCGGUCUUCUUCGUCUUUGCCGAUCUGCCGGUGUUGGCAUUUCUCUCUCUUUUAUUUCUCUCUUUUUCUUUGGGCUUGGUUGUGCCGCAGCCCCGGCAUGCUUGAUGUAUCGCGUGCUUGGUCGUCAUUCUCUUAGUUAUUCAAUAUAUCUUCAAGGAAAAUAGACGUGCACAAUUGUGAGCAGUUAUCUUGUAUAUUUAUUUUUCCAAGGGAAAGUACCCUUGUAUAUAUAGACAUGCACAAUAUGAGCAGUAAGUGCUCCUGUAUAUAUGCAAACCAACAUAUGGUUUGAUGGUUAAGAGAACAAUGCGAUACCCGGCCCAUCAGGGAUUCAAGUCCAGUUGGUCACAUUUUCCUGGAUUUAUUUUAGGCCUUUCAGCCAUGUACGUUCGAUAGGAGAAGAUGUUCCCGUCAACUACAAUUGCACUUGUGUCGACUUCGUUAAUCUUAAAAUGUUGUACUUGU